UGGGAACAGAGAGAGAGGUCAGCCUGCAACUCAGCCUGCUCAGGUACAUGUGCUGCGCUGGAUUCCUGGAUUCUGCCGCCCACGCCGCGAUCACAGAAUCAUCUGAAGAUCAAUUUAUAUGGCUGUAAAUGAUCAGGGCCCACUGGGACUUCCACAACGCAGGGGUCAAGACCAUGGAAAACUGAACUGAGGUCAAACAGUGUUGGACGUAGUAUGCCCCACUGGCCCACGGAUACAACACCAAUCAAUCAGCGACACUGGUCAGAAGCAAAGCGAGGCAGAAUUCCAGAGCUCUCUCCCAUGACAGAACCAACAGUCCGUUAUAACUUAAUGGAAACAACUGUAUCGCUCUUGAGAAAAUAUGUAUGCUACAUUUCAGAGCUACUGAAUCGGUCGUUUCUAGGACCCUUUGCUCAAAUAACUCCAUGACCUUUAGUUAACCUGCCCAUUCAAGACAUGUUUUGAUAAAGUGCCGGUUUAAUUUGAUCAGAGUCAGGAGUGUGAAAUGAUCGUGACGCACGAUUGUAUACAAAAAAAAAUGUAACACCAUCAACAAAAUGACAUUUUCUUGAUUUUCUAUAUGAGAACGAGUCAAAACAUCCUCUACCAGAAACUUAAAUAUGCCAUUUUUCUGCUGUAAUGUUGGGCCACGUUUCAUUC
ensembl:lncRNA